AAGUGUGAUUUUUUUUCUUUUUUUCUUUUUCUUUCUUUCAUUAAUAUGAAAGGUCUACUCUAACUUCUUCGGCUUCUGUUUGUGGUGUGUAGUCCUGCCUCAUUGUUCUUAACAUUUGCAGAGUGUUUCUUGGUGAAUAUCCUUGCCUGUGACUCCUGACACACAUGUGGAUGCUCAGCAGUGGAAAUCCUGGCUGUGUCCAUUCUUUAUCUAGUCACUGCAGCAGCUGCUGUCCUGAGUGGCUGUGCCAUUUUGCCUUUUUCCCCCAGCAUCACAGCAGAAUAGUCAUUUCUCUACUAUUGGUCAAUAUUUGAUAUUUUCUAUGUCUUAAAUUCUGGGCAAUUUGAGGGUUAAAAGUAGUAUUUUGUUUUAAUUUGCUUUCUUUCAAGAUAAUGAGGUUGAGUUUAUUUCCUGUAAUUAUUAGCCAUCUAUACACAUUUCCUUUUCUGUGAUUUGCCCAUUUUAACAGUUUUCCUUUUUUUGUUGAUUUGUAUCAGUCUUUGUAUAUGCUAGAUUUGUUCAUUUAGUCAGUGUUUUUUGAUCUGUUACUAUACACCCUGGCACUUCUGUAGGUGCUGGGAGACCAGCAUGAAGCAAAGUCUCUAAUUUCACAGAAAUUACAGUCAGAAGAGGAAACUGGGCCAGGCAUGGUGGCUCAUACUUGGCGCUUUAUGACGCGGAGGUGGUCAGAUCACUUGAG